rnacentral:rRNA from 1 species
UACGUAGGUGGCGAGCGUUGUCCGGAUUUACUGGGCGUAAAGGGAGCGUAGGCGGAUUUUUAAGUGAGAUGUGAAAUACUCGGGCUCAACUUGAGUGCUGCAUUUCAAACUGGAAGUCUAGAGUGCAGGAGAGGAGAAUGGAAUUCCUAGUGUAGCGGUGAAAUGCGUAGAGAUUAGGAAGAACACCAGUGGCGAAGGCGAUUCUCUGGACUGUAACUGACGCUGAGGCUCGAAAGCGGGGGGAGCAAACAGG